GACGAACGCUGGCGGCGUGCCUAAUACAUGCAAGUCGACCUUAGUGGCGAACGGGUGAGUAACAAGUGGGUAACCUGCCCAUCAGAAGGGGAGAACACUUGGAAACAGGUGCUAAUACCGAAUAAUGUUGGAUGGACCCGCGGUGCAUUACCUAGUUGGUGAGGAAACGGCGCACAAAGGCCACGAUGCAUAGCCGACCUGAGAGGGUGAUCGGCCACCUUGGGGCUGAGCCACGGCCCAAACUCCUUCGGGAGCCAGCAGUAGGGAAUCGUCGGCAAUUGACGAGAGCCUGCCCGAGCGUCGCCACGUGAGUGAAGAAGGUUUUCGGAUCGUAAAGCUCUGUUGUUUGAGCAGCGGUCUCUAUCCAGAAAGCCACGGCUGACUACGUGCCAGCAGCCGCGGUAAUAC
rnacentral:rRNA from 1 species